ACCGAUCAUUGCUAUUAAUUGAGAAAAAGGAAAACUGCUUAAGAGCUAAAAAUAAUGAAUAUAAUAAGUUCCUGUGCCUGAAACUGGAGGAACAAGUGUUGUGUAGGAUGCUCUACUCUGAAUAACAGGUUCGACUUAUUACAAGUAAGAUCCCGUCAGGUGAAAAGGUGGAGUGAUACCUAAAGCUUAAAAACAAUAAAUAAUAAUAAACAAUAAUAAAGCUUGAAAGUAGUUGCCCCUGAGUUGAUAUUGAAAAGCUUUGGAUCUCUUGAAAAGAAAUAGCCCCCUAGUCUGAAAUUCUGGUUAAAUCCAAAAUUAUAGGAAAAGAAUGACAGCUUAGCAUUUAGAAUGAUAGUUUU
rnacentral:lncRNA from 1 species